GGAGAAACUCCGGAGAGAAAGGCGGCGGGUGGCUCUGCAGGGUUGGUUAAUGGGGCUGAGCAGUGCCGCGCAGGGCGGGUGCAGCCUGGAGGGCCCUUGCUGGGCUCGAGGGAGGUGUUGCUUGGUUCUCUUGGGCGGGGCGGGGGGGGACCCUGGGAAAUGCUCACGGGUUAGGACAGGGGCCUGAGUGUCCUCUCUCUGUGGAGCGUUUGCCGUCAGCAAGUGAAGGGCUCCUGGUCGUGCCGAACACCGUGUCCUGUCUCCACUUCCCGUACCCCAGACACGAUCCUUCCAGAUUUGUUAGUUCGUGCAAAUCUUCGGGAACCUCUGGAGAAGCAUCAAUUACCGUUUGCCGGCAAGCCUGGCUGUGUUCUGUUUCCCCAAGUUAAAAUCACAACCAUCCUGUAAGAGGCUUCGUGGGCUCUUUGGACCUGAUGUUGGCAGUGAUGAAAAGGCACCAGGGAAGCUUAGUGAAGACAUUUUAGUUCUUAAAAAUUAAAUACGACAAUAAUAGCUAACAUUCGUCAAGUGCAUGCAAUGAACCAAGCAUUUUGUGUGUGUUACUUAAUUUAAUUAGAAAUGACCCUUCGAGAUAGGGAUUUAAACGACAAAACUCCUGUCUUACAGAUGAAGACACUGAGGUUCAGAGAGGCUCAGAGUCCUGUGCGGUGCCACAAAUCCAGAGCGUCUCAGAGCCGGGGUUCAAGGCUCAGGUGAGCCCAUCUGCAAGAAAGAUACUGGACACAUGUGCCAAAGCCCCCGCUGGACAUGAGCAGAACCUGCAAACCUGGGGGUGACGGAGCACAGCCUUUCAGCUCAGCCGGGAAACCCCGUUGGCAAAAUAGGAGAGGCUGGAGGAUGCCCUUCCUGAAAGUGUGCCUGUGCAAGGGACCUGGGAUGGUACCCUGGCCCGCCAUUGCGCCAAGAGGUCGUUGGGAAUCUGACGCC
rnacentral:lncRNA from 1 species